GGCAAUGACUUCACGUUUCUGAGCCCAAGAAAAGGCAAGGAAGGCCCUUGGUGGUGUUUAGGGAUUCAGGAGCCUCGAAUAAUUUAUGACAUAUGCUAUAUGGCCGAGAGGCAGGCUCUGUGUGCUUGCUUUUCUUUAAAAACAUAAUGUGCCCGUGUGACGCCUUGAGAAGGGGUGAGGGUUCCACUGGCCACUUAGAGCAGGAUGGCACGGCACACCCUUCUAAAUACAGGGCCUGCAGAAAGGUCACUUACUUGGGAAAUCAAAUUUCAAGUGGCCCAGGGCAAGGCUGCUACUUAAAUUCUUUGGUGAACUUUCACUGGUCAAUCAUCUGUCUAGAUUGGUCUUUGGGUUGGGUGAAGUGGGGAGUUCUUGUGUUUGGGCAAAGGGUCUCUCUCCAAGCCGUUCAUGUAGGUGCAAAAUUACCAAGACCUGAGGGCUCAGCAAGACGAGGUCCAGGAGAGGGGUUAGAAAACCUGGAUCAGUUCCAGCGGGAUUCACCGAAGCCAGAUCUGACGGCCUCUGCAGGGCUGCCGAGCCUGAGCUACAGAAACAGCACCUCCCACCCAGAGGCUCCAGCCUGGCUCCAGAUCCAGCACCUGGGCUGACCUGCCGUGAGCCACUUCCUGAACAAGGUUUGAUGAGGGGAGAGGACCGAAAGGGGAGAUCAGGAAGCCAAGAAGUAGUUUCACCCUCGUCCUUAUCUUGCCGAGAGGUGGCGCCCUCAUGAUGCACGAGGGAAGCACCCCAGCCCUGCCCCGGUGGAGGCCCGGCUUCCCGGCAGCCAGGCUGGUGUUGAAGGCGCAAAGGCCACAGAGGACAGGAACGAAGGACGUGACACUGAAACAUUCAACCGUUCCACCAUGAAUGGUGAGACUAAAUGAGAUGCACAGACCAAAUCCAGAGGCAAAUAAACAGGGAAGAAAUAUUUACAGCAUGUGACAAACUGGCACCGAUUACAUCAUGUCCUGUAGAGGAAAGAUCAACCAAGAGAAGGAGGCAAUUUACAAAAGUAGAAACACAGGGAAAAUGAUGUCAGCCACCCGAGCAACAAAAGAGAAGGGCAGUUGGAACAGGAUGUGUGUAU